rnacentral:lncRNA from 1 species
UUUCUUUUACUAUUUGAUACAUAUAAAUUAUGUUUAUUUUUUAUUUUUUUGGUGUUACUUAAUAUUAACUACGACUAGCACAAGUAUAUUUCUUUUACCAUUUCAUACUUAUAAAAUAUGUUCUUUUAAUUUCCACUUAGUUAUUAAAUAAGAUUAGGAAUAUUUGCUUUAUAUAAACUUUACCAUUAUGAAAUAACCUCUUUAUAAUCUGUUAUAAUCCAAAAAAAUAACCGCUUCAAAAACGCGGAUCAAAUGUAAUUAUUUUAAACUAGAUCUUUUUUCCGCGCUACGCGCGGAUAAUAUAUUUAAA